UAUUUUUUCACUGCACUUAGCAGGUGUAUCAUCUAUUCUUGGUGCAGUGAAUUUCAUUACAACAGCAAUUAAUAUACGAUCAGAAAGUAUAACUUUAGAUCAAACACCUUUAUUUGUAUGAUCUGUAGCUAUUACAGCAUUACUUCUCCUUCUUUCACUUCCAGUUUUAGCAGGAGCUAUUACUAUAUUAUUAACAGAUCGAAAUUUAAAUACAUCAUUCUUUGACCCUGCAGGAGGGGGUGACCCAAUUCUAUAUCAACAUCUAUUUUGAUUCUUUGGACACCCAGAAGUUAUAUUUUAAUUCUACCGGGGUUCGGAAUUAUUUCACAUAUUGUAUGUCAAGAAAGAGGAAAAAUUGAAUCAUUUGGAACAUUAGGUAUAAUUUAUGCUAUACUAUCAAUUGGACUAAUAGGAUUUAUUGUAUGAGCACAUCAUAUAUUUACAGUAGGAAUGGAUGUUGACACACGAGCAUAUUUUACAUCAGCAACAAUAAUUAUUGCUGUACCUACAGGAAUUAAGGUAUUUAGAUGAUUAGCUACAUUAUAUGGAACUAAAUUCAAGUUCAAUCCACCAUUAUUAUGAGCUCUAGGAUUUAUUUUCCUAUUUACAAUUGGUGGAUUAACAGGAUUAGUAUUAGCAAAUUCAUCACUUGAUAUUGUAUUACAAGAUACAUAUUAUGUAGUAGCCCACUUUCAUUAUGUAUUAUCUAUAGGAGCAGUAUUUGCAAUUAUAGGAGGUGUCAUUCAAUGAUAUCCACUAUUUACAGGAUUAACUAUAAAUAAUACAUGAUUAAAAAUCCAAUUUACAAUUAUAUUCAUUGGAGUAAAUUUAACAUUCUUUCCUCAACACUUCCUAGGAUUAGCAGGAAUACCUCGACGAUACUCUGACUACCCAGACGCAUAUACAUCAUGAAACGUAGUAUCAAGAAUUGGGUCUACAAUUUCUAUUGUAGGAAUCAUUAUAUUCAUUGUAAUUAUAUGAGAAAGAAUGAUUACAAACCGAGCAAUUAUAUUUAGAGCUAACAUAAGAAGAUCAACAGAAUGACUACAAAAUAACCCUCCUGCAGAACAUAGUUACUCAGAAUUACCAUUAAUCUCUAGAU